AUUGAUAAGAAUGGACAUUGGGUCUAACUCAACCCCAAAAGCUAGCUUAUGAGGUGAGGAUUGGCCAUGCCAUAUAAGGAGACCAAGGACCUCAAAUCCCUCCGAUGUGGGACAACUCAACAACCCCCUCAAGCCCAGAUCUUUGGAGCGUGGACAACAUAAAUGGGGGCCCAACAUCGGUAACAAUAACUGGGAUGGGCCUGGCUCUGAUACCAUGAAAAGAAUGGACCUUGGACCUAACUCAACCCCGAAAGCUAGCUUAUGAGGUGAGGAUUGCCCAAGCCAUAUAAGGAAACCAAGGACCUCAAAUCCCUCCGAUGUGGUCUAACUCAACCCCAAAAGUUAGCUUAUGAGGUGAGUACUGCCCAUGCCAUAUAAGGAGACAAAGGACCUCAAAUCCCUCCGAUGUGGGACAACUCAACAAUGAUCUUGUAUGGAACUUUUGUUUCUAUAGAGACAACCAAGAAUAUAAAGGCAUAGCAAAAGAUCCCUUGUCAGAUUCCUAGCUAAAAGAGAAAAUCCAGAAAUGGCUGAAAUCCUGUUGGUUAGUGGAUCGAUCAUAUGGCAAAGUUC
rnacentral:lncRNA from 1 species